rnacentral:tRNA from 1 species
GGGCAGGUGGCGGAAUUGGUAUACGCGCUGGCCUUAGGAGCCAGUGGGGUAACCCGUGCGGGUUCGACUCCCGCCCUGCCCA